CAUGAAGCCGGAAUUGCUAGUAAUGGCAGGUCAGCAUACUGCCGUGAAUACGUUCCCGGGCCUUGUACACACCGCCCGUCACACCAUGAGAGUUGGGAAUACCCGAAGCCUGUGAGCUAACUUUUAGAGGCAGCAGUCGAAGGUAGAAUCAAUGAUUGGGGUGAAGUCGUAACAAGGUACC
rnacentral:rRNA from 1 species